GUGUCACUGUGCGUCCGUUUUCCACUGCGAGGCAAGCCGUGGCCGGUCAUCAUAGCAGAAAACGGCAGCAACCCAACGCGACACACAUACAGAAAGUCAAAAGUGUGUUUUUUUGCUACAGCCAGAAGGCAAAUCAGUUUCUAAAUAAACCUGGAGGCUGGCAAAAAAACCCCGCUGGAUAAACUUGUUACCGGUAAACACAGCGGGCUUGUUCAGGACACCCCCAGCUCGACUGAGUUUGCAAGAAAAUACUUGAAAGAGAAUACUUUGAGCACAUUGGUCGUCACUUAAAAAAACAGUUGUUGUGAAUGAAGCACCACCAGUCACUAACCUAAAACACCGAUGGCCUGCUCUUUUGAUGCAGCUCAGCUAAAUGAUGAAUUCAGGAGGAUCACCACUAUUAACCUCGAGGCAACGCUCAUGGCAAAAACUGGACCAGCACACAACAAAAAUACAGUCCUUGGUGUCCUUAAGAGGAGGGGCUUCAAAAAUGAAUUUUCAGCGCAUAAGAAACCUGCUAGAGGAUGAGUCUGUGGAAAAAAGGAGAGGUUGCUAUCUGUGGUCUAAUGGUGUAUCUCAGAGGAAAGGAGGAGGAUCUCUUCAAAGAGCAGUUGGAUGGUGGGAAUAUUGUCAGUGAAGUGAUGGAGAUGGUCUUUUCCAGAGGUGCCACCAUGUCUGAUCCAACCAGCGCCAGGAUCUUCAUUGAGGGAACAGAAGUCCUGCAAGACUUGGACGUACCCAGAGCAUGUGCCUUGCUAAUGGGGCUGAUAUACGGACUCAACCUCAGCUACCCAAAAGAACGAAAAAACACUUUUGAGGUAUUUCAAAAGAUAUGCCUUUAGCUGGAUGGGCUGAAAGCCAGUCCGAAGGUUAUGUCUUUAAAAAGUAAACUGCUAUGCUAAAAAUGUGAAGAAUUAGACUGUCCUCAAAUUCAACAACAUGGUGCAUGGUGUUUUUUAUUGUAUUUUUUAACAUGCACCGCACUGGACUCAGUGGAUUGGGCCUCCAAAAUUUACGUUAGUAAUUUGAACAUGUUCUAUUUUUAAGGGCAACUUAGAAGCUCCCAAAUACACUAAUAAUUUUCAUUAAAGGGAAGCUUUGUUAUUUUUCAACCUGUCUCUGUCUGUCUGCCUGUCUGACUGACUGACUGACUGAGGGAAGACUAUCUUUAAUUGGCCCAGUAUUGAUAGAGAGCGCAUCAGCUGGCAGCUGCAAAAUGAGCUAAAAAAUACUUUUUAGGAGACUUGGUUUUACACAGCCACAACAAGUGAAGGGAAAGGCUUUCCAUUCUGUUGUAAGGACUUACAGUAACCACCUGUACCUGUUAGAGGGUGAAAAAGAGAACUAUUUGUGAACACAAUUUGACGCAGCACAUUUGCCUUAUAGAACUACAUUUCAGCUCAUUUUGUAGCCACCAGAAAGAUGCGCUCUCCAUCAAUACUGGACUAAUUAAAUAUUUCUUCUCCUCAUCAGUCUGGUACACACAGGCUUGGGGAAUUAGGGUCCAGGUUAAAAAAAAUAAUGACACUCUCUAUUAAAACUGA